UAUUGGUCAAUGGCGGGUCCGCUGAACCAGCAACUUGGAGGAAUGUAUAGGGAAAACUAGUAAAAUGUGAUGUACCUAGUAGUAUUAGUGAUUAAUAUGAGAUUAACUUAGUUAAUUAAAAUUCUAAGUAAAUAUGUGAUAAUGACACUAUUUGCUUAUGUCUUGACCAAGACACGUGCCAGCAGUCGCGGUAAUACGUGGAAGAUUAGUGUUAUUCAUCUUUAACAGGUUUAAAGGGUACCUAGACGGUUAAUUAAACACAAUUAUGUAUUAAUUAACUAGAGUUUAAUGUAAGAAGGAUUGAGUACGGUGAGUGUAGAGAUAAAAUUUUAUAAUACCACUUAGGAACUGGUAAAGGCGAAGGCAACCUUCCAUGUAAAAACUGACGUUAAGGGACGAAGGCUCGUAUCAAAUAAUAGGAUUAGAUACCCUAGUAUUGUGGGCAGACAAUGAUGAGUGUCAUAUGCAAGAGAUUUUUUUUGUGUAUAAAUGAAAGUGUAAGCACUCCACCUCAAGAGUAACAUGGCAACAUGGGAACUGAAAUCAUUAGACCGUUUCUGAAACUCGUAGUGAAGUAUGUUGUUUAAUUUGAUGGUCCACAAAUAACCUUACCACAAUUUGUAUAACCACAAGAGAUAAAUUUUUAACUAAAAAUUUAUUUAUUUUUUAUGUGGUUUUUUAGAUUUCCACAUAAUUAUGUAAAGCUUGUGGUUACAAGCGUUGCACGGCUGUCUUCAGUCAAUGUUGUGAAACUGUGGUUAGAUCCAUUAAAUUGACGUAAACCCUUACUUUAUUUGUUAUAAAGUAGUUCGCCGCUAUAUUGGUAGUGAUAUAAGGGACUAAGACAAGUCAUCAUGGCCUGAACAUUGUGGGCUAUAGACGUGCCACAUUACCCUUUACAAAAAGAUGCGAAA
rnacentral:rRNA from 1 species